rnacentral:rRNA from 1 species
UACGGGGGGGGUAAGCGUUGUUCGGAAUUACUGGGCGUAAAGGGCUCGUAGGCGGCCAACUAAGUCAUACGUGAAAUCCCUCAGCUUAACUGGGGAACUGCGUGUGAUACUGGAUGGCUUGGAUUUGGGAGAGGGAUGCGGAAUUCCAGGUGUAGCGGUGAAAUGCGUAGAUAUCUGGAGGAACACCGGUGGCGAAGGCGGCAUCCUGGACCAUUACUGACGCUGAGGCGCGACAGCGUGGGGAGCAAACAGG